UGGGGAAUUUUGGACAAUGGGCGAAAGCCUGAUCCAGCAAUGCCGCGUGUGUGAAGAAGGCCUUCGGGUUGUAAAGCACUUUUGUCCGGAAAGAAAUCCUCUGGGUUAAUACCUCGGGGGGAUGACGGUACCGGAAGAAUAAGCACCGGCUAACUACGUGCCAGCAGCCGCGGUAAUACGUAGGGUGCAAGCGUUAAUCGGAAUUACUGGGCGUAAAGCGUGCGCAGGCGGUUUUGUAAGACGGAUGUGAAAUCCCCGGGCUUAACCUGGGAACUGCAUUCGUGACUGCAAGGCUAGAGUAUGGCAGAGGGGGGUAGAAUUCCACGUGUAGCAGUGAAAUGCGUAGAGAUGUGGAGGAAUACCGAUGGCGAAGGCAGCCCCCUGGGCCAAUACUGACGCUCAUGCACGAAAGCGUGGGGAGCAAACAGGAUUAGAUACCCUGGUAGUCCACGCCCUAAACGAUGUCAACUAGUUGUUGGGGAUUCAUUUCCUUAGUAACGUAGCUAACGCGUGAAGUUGACCGCCUGGGGAGUACGGUCGCAAGAUUAAAACUCAAAU
rnacentral:rRNA from 1 species